GAAUAGGUGAAUAUGAGAUAGUGUAGUGAAUAUGAGAUAGUGUAGUGAAUAGGUGAAUAUGAGAUAGUGUAGUGAAUAUGAGAUAGUGUAGUGAAUAGGUGAAUAUGAGAUAGUGUAGUGAAUAUGAGAUAGUGUAGUGAAUAGGUGAAUAUGAGAUAGUGUAGUGAAUAGGUGAAUAUGAGAUAGUGUUGUGAAUAGGUGAAUAUGAGAUAGUGUAUAGUGUAGUGAAUAGGUGAAUAUGAGAUAGUGUAGUGAAUAGGUGAAUAUGAGAUAGUGUCGUGUAUAGGUGAAUAUGAGAUAGUGUAGUGAAUAGGUGAAUAUGAGAUAGUGUAGUGAAUAGCUGAAUAUGAGAUAGUGUAGUGAAUAUGAGAUAGUGUAGUGAAUAGGUGAAUAUGAGAUAGUGUAGUGAAUAGGUGAAUAUGAGAUAGUGUGGUGAAUAUGAGAUAGUGUAGUGAAUAGGUGAAUAUGAGAUAGUGUAGUGAAUAUGAGGUAGUGUA